rnacentral:lncRNA from 1 species
UCUGGAAACUCCUCACUCUCCAUCCGCUUUGAUUUCACUCUGCUGUUUGUCUCUUUCAGGAAGGAGAAGCGAGAGCUGGGGCUGACAGUUCUGGUAGACGCUCGCAGACAGCAGACGGUUCCCUCCACACUGAUCUCGGCUCUGUCUCAGUUUCAGGCUUCUGUACCCAAUGCACUUUACUCAGUUUUGUUUCUGGUGGAAAAAGAAGCAGCAGUGAAAGUUGAGCGUGACGUCACAUUUCCGUAUGAAGUCCUGACAUCUCUAAAAGCUCUGCAGAAACACAUCGACUCCACGCAGCUCACCACAGACCUGGAGGGCACGUUUCCAUAUGACCACAGCCACUAUAUUCACUUCAGACAGGUGCAUAUUUACAUCAACACCUGUGUUUAUCUUCUUACACUCACACCAGGGGUCCAGGGGUCUGUUCUUUGUACAUGGAUUACUCAAUUAGCUGGAUUUAGAUAUUGAUGAUUUGGCAUGUUCCAGGAUCCAUUUGUUCUUCAAAACUCAUCUGAGACUUGUUGUCAUAACAACAGUUCUGGUAGCCAGGGCUGGUGCGUAUAUAGAGGCGACCUAGGCGGCUGCCUAGGGUGGCAGAAUAGAGAGGCCGGCGUCCCCGAAACUACCCUCACCACCCGCGCCCGCAGUUAUAUCUGCGUCUAGGAUGGCACAAUAGAGAGGGCAGAGUCUGCGACAGCUUCCUCACCCCCCCCCCACCCCACCCCACCCCACUGCUUUUACUUUAGUGUUGAGACCGUCCUUUGCCUAGAGCAGUGGUUCUUAAAGUGGGGGACGGGACCCCCCGAGGGGUCGUGGGGCAAUGAAGGGGGGUCGCCUGGUGAUUUCCAAAAAUCUAUUUAUUUUUAUUAAACCAUAAGAAUUAACAUAUUUUAUCCAUAACUAUACUGAAAAUAAAAAUUUUAGUUUAUAGUUACUUUAUACUAUAUAGUUAAUAUAGGAGCUUCUAGUUACUAGUUCUAUUGGAUUGCGCCCCUGGGGUAAUUACAUUAUAUUAAAGGCAGCAAUAGCGUCAGAUGCAUUUUGAUUUUAUAACAUCAGGUUAUACUUUCUGGCACAUUUAAAGCACUGACACAAAUUUAAUUGGUGUGUGUGCGUCAUUGCAUGCAAGGUUUCUGUAUUUAUAACCACCUCAGAGGAUAUUGGGGGUCGCGAGUCACUGGCAUUGUUAUUUUGGGGGUCGCGGGCUGAAAAGUUUGGGAACCGCUGGCCUAGAGCGGCAGUUCAGCUUGCUCCGGCCCUGCUGGUAGCUCAAACCUGCGUAGGUGCAGGUUCAUUUCAUAUAAACAGGAUUAGAUCGGUUCAGUUCAAGCAAAGAUAAUACUGAAAGUAAGUACCGAACGCUGAUAAUUUCUUACAGUAGUUAUAUACACUUGGGAAAAUAGUAAAUACAUAUAUAUAUAUUUUUUUUUUUCUUAGCUAUAUAUAUAUUUAAAGUAAAAUUAAAUUAUAUUUAAUUAUAUUUAAAGUAAAAAAUAUAUAUAUUAACAAAACGUAUGCAAUCUGCACUCCGAAAUAAAAGUAUCACCUGGUAAUUCAAAGAAAAAAAUUAUUGAUAUGAACUUUUUAGAUGCAAAAAUAAAAUCCCGGAAACGGGUUUAAAACUUACUUAUAGCACCGAUAUUGAAAAUAAAUCUAUCAUGAUAUACAGUUGAAGAAUUAUUUGCCCCCUUUGAAUUUUUUUUUCUUUUUUAAAUAUUUCCUAAAUGAUGUUUAACACAGCAAGGAAAUUUUCACAGUAUGUCUGAUAAUAUUUUUUCUUCUGAGGAAAGUCUUAUUUGAUUUAUUUUGGCUAGAAUAAAAGCAGUUUUAAGAUUUUUAAACACUAUUUUAAGGUCAAUAUAAUUAGCCCCUUUAAACUAUAUUUUCUCGAUAGUCUACAGAACAAACCAUCAUUAUACAACACCUUGCCUAAUUACCCUAACCUGCCUAGUUAACUUAAUUAGAACAUCUAUAGUCUAAUAUGAUUUACUGUCAUCAUGGCAAAGAUAAAAUAAAUCAGUUAUUAGAGAUGAGUUAAUAAAACUAUUAUGUUUACAAAUGUGUUGAGAAAAAUCAGAAAUUGAGGAAAAAAUUAAACAGGGGGGCUAAUAAUUCUGACUUCAACUGUAUAUUGACAUUGAAUUAUUGUCCAGCCCUAAUUUUAUGCCCUAAUUUUAUGUGUGUGUCUUUAAAUGCAAAUAAGCUGUUGCUCUUUCUCUGGUGCAAAGAUCAAAUAAAAUUGUUAUAAGAAAUUACUUAUUAAAACUGUUAUGUUUAGAAAUGUGUAAAUAUAUAAAAUAAUUCAAGUUGAAUGGAAGUGAAACAAACAAAUCUUUUUGUUUUUGUUUUUUUUUUUGGCAGAAAAUUGAGCCGUUUGCAUCAAGCUGCAGCGCUGCGAUCUCUUUUCUUCAGAGCUCCAUCGAGACACUAAACAACAUCAGCAAUCUGGAGACAGCUCAGGUAAAACUGUGCAUCUUGUGGAACAACAUAUUAAAAAUAUUUAUGAUUUCAUGAUCAUUUACUGUGGAAAACACUGAAACAUUUAACACUAGAACUACCGAGGCAGUCAUUUUGAGUGUUUUCCAUUUUAUUAAUUUAAUAACUUUGCUAAAAUGAAGCUCUAGUGUGGUAAUAUAACACUGACUCUUCCUAAAUGUGUCUAUAUUUCUUUUUUAACAUUGUUAUUUUAUUACAAAACACAAAAGAGUGAUUUCUGUCUUGAACUACCAUACUUUUCCCCGUGAGUUUGAAUCUGCAUGUGUCUAUUGCCUAGUCUUUGUUGCAUGUCUCUUUUUCUGAUAGCAGAAGCAGAACUUUACUUCAGAUGAAUCUUUUAAAGCAGCUGUUGAAACUCCUUUUGUGGUCCCGCUGUAGGAGGUGUCAGAGGUCAUAGGUCAGCAGAAAAGCCUGAUGAAGAACAUUUUGGACGACACUGAACUGAACCGGCUGCGGCUGGAGGGAGGAACAUUUCUGGCCCGGCUCAGGAAAGAGGAGAUGUGUGAAAACCACAACUACAGGUGCUCACUUAGACAUUUUUAAUGCUGUAUCAGCCUUUCAAGAUCAGUUUAAUGCAUGCUUGCUAUUUUUAAUUAGUACUGUUAUUUUAUUUAAUAGCAAUACAAAAAUAUAAAACAUAAAAUAUAGAAACAAAUUAUAAACAAUAAAAUAACUCACUCUCACUCACUUUCCUUUAUUAGUGGUCGCCACAAUUAUAAAUGCCAGUUUUUGGAAGAGUUUUAAAUUAAAUUAAAUUAAAUUAAAUUAAAUUAAAUUAAAUUAAAUUAAAUUAAAUUAAAUUAAAUUAAAUUAAAUUAAAUUAAAU